GAGUGUGACUGUUAAACCCUUUCUGUUACUAUAAGCAUUCACUUAAGGGUGUGAGUAAAGUAAACAGGGACCUGCCCUCCAACAUUAAGGAGUAGCUUCCACUUCAAGACUCGCUGUGGACUAUUUCAAGACGGGAACGGCACCAAACUGGGUGAAACAGGGUUUUUCUCAUCUUCUGUAGGCUAUUUUUUGCCUGCAGUGCAAAUAUUGGACUGUUUAUUCAGUUUCACCAAGCCCACCUGGGUCACACAUUAGGAUAUUUUAAAGAUCUUCACAAUGGAGAGAAGGGCUUUGACUUUGAAGGCAAAGAUCCAGAAGCAUAGUCCUAAGACGGAAAAUUUGGACCCUCGGAAGUGGAUGAGAAAGGAGACCGUAGACGCGUUUGGUGACUUCAUCCUGAAAAAGCAUUCUGAAAAAGAAACAGACAACAGCUUUGACAACAGGGAGAUGUUGCUUGAUGCAGAGAAGCAGUUUAUGGAUGCAGCCAAGAGAAAUGACGUGGAGACCAUGAAGACUCUUGCAAAAGGGCUGAACACCAAUACGAGGAAUGUGGAUAAUAGGACAGCACUUCACUAUGCAGUAGCUGGCAAAAACAAGGAGGCUGUGCAGCUUCUUCUGCAGCGGAGGGUCAAGAUGGACGCAAAGGACAAGUACGGAGUGGCACCCAUUCAUCUUGCAGCCUGGUUUGGCAGUUUGGAGAUCUUGAAGUUAUUAGUGCAGGCUGGGGCUGAGCAGAAAGUUGAGAACAAGGAGGGACUGAACAUCAUGCACUGUGCUGCGAUCAAUAACCACACUGAAAUACUAGAGUAUAUUAUUAACGACCUGCAGAUGAAAGAACUGGACAAAGAAGACCAGUCAGGUCACCGGGCAUUUGCGUUGGCGGCAGAGCAUGGGUGUGCUGAAAUGUUGGAAAAGCUGAUGGUGCCAUAUGACAUGGGAACGAUGAAGCCCAACAAGCGCGGGGACACGCCCCUGCACUUAGCUGCCAGGAACGGCCACCUGGCUGCCGUCCAAUUGCUGCUGCAGAGCUUUGAUACUCGGGAUGAAGUCAAUAUGGAAGGUGAGACAGCUCUGUACCAGGCUGCAGACAACGGUGAGGAGGAGUGUGCCCUGCUCCUACUGGAGGCUGGCUGUGACCCCAACAUCCUCACAAAGGUAGGCCUACAGCUACACUUUUCUCUCUUUCAGGGCAAUUGCAGUGCCCUCCAUCCAGUUUCAGAAAAAGGAGACACAUCUCUUGUCCAGCUCCUCUUAGAUUACAAAACCCAUACAGACUUUCAGAAUCAGAACCUAGAGGCUCCUCUCCACCUGGCAGUGAAGAACAGUCACAUCCCUGUCAUCCAUUGUCUACUAAAGGCUGGCUGCAACGUCAAUGUCACAGACAAGAGGUCCCAGACUGCCAUGCAUCUCGCUGCAGAGCUGGCCAGAACAGAAGUCGUGGAAAUGCUUCUUAAAUCGGGGCUGGAUCCGACACUCAGGGACAGGCAGAGGAAGACGGCGCUGGGUGUGGCAGCCAGAGCAGACGAGGUGAUAAUCGUGGACAUGAUCAUCAAAGCAGAAAGAUACUACGCCUGGAGGAAGGCCAACCCAGAACUUAAUGAGAGCCUUCACAGUGAGUAUCCACUAAAGUUUAAACUCGACCACCGCUAUGAGACCAAGCAGCUCCGCUCCAUGGCCUGGGGCCUGGCGUACGAGCUCCUUAAACCGGGAGACUGGAAAAGACUUGCUGAACACUGGGGGUUCAGUAAAGAGCAAAUGUCGGCCAUCGAGGAACAGUGGACAGGUCAACACAGCUAUAAAGAGCAUGGGAACAGGAUGCUGCUGAUCUGGCUCCACGGGGAGGAGUUGGCUGAGAGGAGCCCUGCAAGAGAGCUCUACCAGGGCCUAAUCCUCACAGGGAACAGGAAAGCUGCAGAUAGGAUUCGGAUGGAGGCAGAGAGUUCCAGCAGUAAGAGCUGCAGCAUUUCAUAAUGAAGAAUAAACACGGCAACAAAUGGACUCACAUCAUUUUCAACUGUACAGGAAGUGAGCAAAACUUCCUGUGUGUGGUCAGUCAACCACUUUGAUGGAGUGUACUUGGCACGUGCUGGUGUGUGUUCUGGAGGAGCUCCUGCCUGCGGAGGUGCUCUGGCCCGGUUUGGAGGGACGGGGGAACUUAGAAGCCGUGGCCUGACCGAUGGUGAGCUGAAAGAGAAGCAACAGAAAAUGUUCAUCAUGGACUCAAGUGAACACAUAACAUACAGCAGUGAUGCACACUGUCCCAUACCUGCGUGACGGGAUGAUGGCGUUCAACAAUCACAGAGCUCAUGGGCGGAGCCACACCCAUCACCUGGAGGUUGCUGCGCGCGGCCUUCCCGACGUCAGUGCGCGCAGUGAUCCGAGCUGUUACAGUCUUUAAGGGUUUUUGUUGACUGGCUGUGACGACACGACCGCUCCCCUGAAAAAGACAAACAUAAUUGCGUUGUGUAUAAAUGUCAUUGUUCACCAUUUUGAUAACCAUUUAUUCGAUGCGUCAUAAUCACACAUAGCUGUUAUGAAGGUGUCAUAACUUUAAACAAGCUGUACCAGAGUCAUUACAUCAGUUUUUGUAACACUCACCUGUUUGUUGGAACUCGGAGCGCCCCCUAGUGGGAGGGAGCUGUGCACCACUGUAGUUGGAGGGAUCAUUUCUGCCCUGGACACGGGGGCACCAGAACCCACCUGAGAGAAAUUAAAUAACGGGAAACAGCAACACUAUUUAUUUCAACAGCAGUUUUCACUGAUCUAAUUAGAUAAUUGAGAAGAAAUGUAUCAAUUUCAUAGAGGAACUACGGUUUGUCAAAACGUUAUCAGGCAAAACUGUCUCACCAUAUCCUCUGCUUCACUGUGGGAAGGGUCCGGGCGGUCAAAGUGGACUGGGCUGUACCGGGACGAAGGGAUGGGAAAUGUUGGAAGAUGAGCCAUUGAAGCAGAGCUAGGCUCAUCCUGGGGAGGUGGAAUAUCUACAGAAAAAAAAAAUAAUUGAGUUCUGAUUUGU